rnacentral:lncRNA from 1 species
GCUUUAACCAGUUACCUAUUUCUAUGUUUAUUUUAAGAUUGCUGUUCUAUGUUGCCUUAUUGAUCUCAAACAUAUAAGAUGUGGGGGUUUAUUAAGUCAAGCGAUGUACAUUACAAAAACAAUCACUGAAGAUCCAAGUCCAGCGCUGGAGAUUUGAAUCCAGGGCAUUAGUUAUAAAGUCAAGCGCUGAAUAUCCUAAUUCUAGCGCUGUAGAUCCUAAUUCUAGCGCUGUAGAUCCUAAGUUUAGCGCUAAAGAUGUAAAGUGCAUUGUUGAUCUAAAUCUCGGCACUGAAGAUGUAAACUCCAGUGGUGCAAAUGUAAGUUUCAGUGAUGUAGAUAUGAAGAUUAGCGCUGUAGAUGUAAAUUCAAGCGCUGAAGAUCUAAAGUAAAAUUACAUGUAAGAUUUUAAGUCAAUUCGCCAACAGAUCUUUUUCUGUAAAUAAAUUUCUGACUUCCCAUUAAAUUAUGUUACUGUU